rnacentral:rRNA from 1 species
UAAAAUUAAUAAAUUAUAAUUAAUAAAAAAAAUUUUAUUAUUAAAAAUAUAUAAUGGGGGUUAGAGUAUUUUUAAUAGAAAAAAUUUUAAAGUUUAUAGUGAAAUAGUAUUGUAGAAAAAUUUUUAAAUAAAUAAAAAAUUAAAUUUGAAUUAAAGUAAAUUUUAUUUAUUGUAUCUUGUGUAUCAGAGUUUAUUAAAUAAAAAUUUUAUUUAAAAAAAUCUCGAAUUUAAAAGAGUUAAUUAAUUAAUAAAGUUAAUGUUGAAUAAUUAUUUUUAAUAAUUAAUUAGAAAUGAAAUGUUAAUCGUUUUUAAAUAUAUCUAGUUUUUUUAGAAAAAAAUUUAAUUUUAAAUUUAAAUAAUUUUAUAAUUAUUUAAAUAAUUAUAAAAAUUUAAAAUUUAAUAUAUUAAGGGAUAAGCUUUAAAUUAAAAAUUUAUAAUUAAAUAAAAUAAAAUUAAAAAUUUUAAAAUUUAUAUUGUUUAAAAAUUUUAAUUUAUUAUAAAAAAUUUUAAUUUAAAUAAAAUUUAAAAUAGAAAUUUAAUUUUUUAUAAAAAAAAUUUUUUUAAUAAGAUAAAAUUGGAAAUAAUGAUAAAAUUAGUAUAAUUUAAAUUUUAAUCAAUAAAUUUAAUAAAAAUUAAAUUAAAGGAAUUCGGCAAAAAUUAUAUUCACUUGUUUAUCAAAAACAUGUCUUUUUGAUUAAUAAUUUAAAGUCUAAUCUGCCCACUGAUAAUAAAUUAAAGGGCUGCAGUAUAUUGACUGUACAAAGGUAGCAUAAUCAUUAGUCUUUUAAUUGAAGACUUGUAUGAAAGAUUUGAUGAAAUAUAAACUGUCUCUAAUUUAUUAAUAAAAAUUAAUUUUUUAGUUAAAAAGCUCAAAUAAAAUUAAAAGACGAGAAGACCCUAUAGAGUUUUAUAGUUAUUUUAAUUUUAUAAAAAUAUAUAGUUAAUUAUUAAAAUUAAAAUAAUUAUUUUAUUGGGGUGAUAAAAAAAUUAAAAAAACUUUUUUUAAAAAAAUAACAUAAAUAAAUGAUUAAGUGAUCCAUUUUUAAUGAUUAUAAGAAAAAAUUACCUUAGGGAUAACAGCGUAAUAUUUUUUUUUAGUACAAAUAAAAAAAAAAGUUUGCGACCUCGAUGUUGGAUUAAGAUAAAAUUUAAAUGCAAAAGUUUAAAAUUUUGAUCUGUUCGAUCAUUAAAAUCUUACAUGAUCUGAGUUCAAACCGGUGUAAGCCAGGUUGGUUUCUAUCUUUAAUAAAUUAUAAUAUUUUAGUACGAAAGGAUCAAAUAUUAAAAAUAAUUUUAAUAUUUGAAUUUUAAUAAAAUUAAUUUA